rnacentral:rRNA from 1 species
CCUACGGGAGGCAGCAGUGAGGAAUAUUGGUCAAUAGACGAGAGUCUGAACCAGCCAAGUAGCGUGAAGGAUGACUGCCCUAUGGGUUGUAAACUUCUUUUAUAUGGGAAUAAAACGUUCCACGUGUGGGAUUUUGUAUGUACCAUAUGAAUAAGGAUCGGCUAACUCCGUGCCAGCAGCCGCGGUAAUACGGAGGAUCCGAGCGUUAUCCGGAUUUAUUGGGUUUAAAGGGAGCGUAGGUGGAUUGUUAAGUCAGUUGUGAAAGUUUGCGGCUCAACCGUAAAAUUGCAGUUGAAACUGGCAGUCUUGAGUACAGUAGAGGUGGGCGGAAUUCGUGGUGUAGCGGUGAAAUGCUUAGAUAUCACGAAGAACUCCGAUUGCGAAGGCAGUUCACUGGACUGCAACUGACACUGAGGCUCGAAAGUGUGGGUAUCAAACAGGAUUAGAUACCCCUGUAGUC